rnacentral:rRNA from 1 species
UACGUAGGUGGGAGCGUUGUCCGGAUUUACUGGGCGUAAAGGGAGCGUAGGCGGACUUUUAAGUGAGGUGUGAAAUACCCGGGCUCAACUUGGGUGCUGCAUUUCAAACUGGAAGUCUAGAGUGCAGGAGAGGAGAAUGGAAUUCCUAGUGUAGCGGUGAAAUGCGUAGAGAUUAGGAAGAACACCAGUGGCGAAGGCGAUUCUCUGGACUGUAACUGACGCUGAGGCUCGAAAGCGUGGGGAGCAAACAGGAUUAGAUACCCUGGUAGU